rnacentral:rRNA from 1 species
AUUGAACGCUGGCAGCAGGCCUAACACAUGCAAGUCGAGCGGAGCGGCGGACGGGUGAGUAAUGCCUAUGAAUCUGCCUGGUAGUGGGGGAUAACGUCCGGAAACGGGCGCUAAUACCGCAUACUAUCAGAUGAGCCUAGGUCGGAUUAGCUAGUUGGUGGGGUAAAGGCCUACCAAGGCAACGAUCCGUAACUGGUCUGAGAGGAUGAUCAGUAACACUGGAACUAGGACACGGCCCAGACUCCUACGGUAGGCAGCAGUGGGAAAUAUUGGACAAUGGGCGAAAGCCUGAUCCAUCCAUGCGGGGUGAUUAAAGAAGGUCUUCGGAUUGUAAAGCACUUUAAGUUGGGAGGCGUUACCAACAGAAUAAGCACCGGCUAACUUCGUGCCAGCAGCCGCGGUAAUUC